rnacentral:rRNA from 1 species
UCGGCGCAGGCGACGCGUGGCCAUGGCCUGGCGCGGGGUGUGGCGCAGCGUGCGAGGGCGAGGCCUUGACGCGGGCGGGCGUAGCCUGGCUACUCCGGGCGCGAGCGCCGCGCGGGCGAAGGGGACCCGCAACGACGGACGGAGGGAGGCGACGCCGGCCGGUGGCCGCUAUCAUGACGUCUGCAGGAGAGGCGAUGGCCGGGGAGCGGUCGCGCCGUUCCUUUUUCUCUCGACCAAAUCGCUCUCGGGAGCAUGCUGAUAACGUGUUCGAGAUUGACAGAACAAAUGAUCGAACUAUCUCUUUGCAUUAGAUGAAGUGCUAUAUAUAGCACUAGAACAGGCGUUUACAAAGGGGCGUCGGUGAACCGACGCAACGGUUGGAAAAGUAACCGCCAAAGGUUAAUACAAGCAGGGAUUAAUCCCUUAAUUACUAUGUUAA